GACGAACGCUGGCGGCGUGCCUAAUACAUGCAAGUAGAACGCAGUUGCGAACGGGUGAGUAACGCGUAGGUAACCUGCCUCAUAGCGGGGGAUAACUAUUGGAAACGAUAGCUAAUACCGCAUACUGUGAGAUGGACCUGCGUUGUAUUAGCUAGUUGGUGAGGUAAAGGCUCACCAAGGCGACGAUACAUAGCCGACCUGAGAGGAUGAUCGGCCAAAUGGGGACGGAGACACGGCCCAGACUCCUACGGAAGGAAGAAGUAGGAAAUCUUCGGAAAUGGACGAAGGUCGGACGGAGAAACGCGGGGUGAGGGAGGAGGUUUUUGGGAUCGUAAAGUUUGGUGGUUAGGGAAGCGGAAACUAACCAGAAAGGGACGGCUAACUAGGUGCCAGCGGCGGCGGUAAUAC
rnacentral:rRNA from 1 species